CGUGCUCUGCAGCCAUUUUGUGAACCUGCAGAGAGGUGUGAGGAGGUGCAGAGCUAGCAAUUUGGUUGUUUGCUGUGGAUAUCGUUUGGACACCCCAGCAGGCUUUAUUCCAGGACAGUCAGGAGGAUUCCUGUUACCCCGGAGGAGAGCCAUUUUAGGAGCUUUUACAACAUUUGUAGAGAUGUCAAAGGACAAGCAGACCCGAUCCGCCCCUUCCCCCACCCCCUCGGAUCUAUCCCUGCAUAGCAACGAGGAGUGGGAGCCAACCCAGGAGGCGGAUACGACCGACCAGGCAUGUAGUGACCAGCCGCGGUCGUCAAGGGCCCAUGAGAAGUCCAAGAAAAAGCCUAGUAGAAAGGCAAGAAGCCAGCCAGAGAAGCAGUCGGAGGAGGAAGCCUCUGGUGAAGAUGCA